rnacentral:rRNA from 1 species
AUUGAACGCUGGCGGCAUGCUUUACACAUGCAAGUCGAACGGUAACAGGCCGCAAGGUGCUGACGAGUGGCGAACGGGUGAGUAAUGCAUCGGAACGUGCCCAGUCGUGGGGGAUAACGCAGCGAAAGCUGCGCUAAUACCGCAUACGAUCUAUGGAUGAAAGCGGGGGACCGUAAGGACUCGCGCGAUUGGAGCGGCCGGUGUCAGAGUAGGGAGUUGGGGGGGUAAAGGCGCACCAAGCCGACGAUCUGUAGCUGGUCUGAGAGGACGACCAGCCACACUGGGACGGAGACACGGCCCAGACUCCUACGGGAGGCAGCAGUGGGGAAUUUUGGACAAUGGGCGCAAGCCUGAUCCAGCAAUGCCGCGUGCAGGAAGAAGGCCUUCGGGUUGUAAACUGCUUUUGUACGGAACGAAAAGGCUCUGGUUAAUACCUGGGGCUCAUGACGGUACCGUAAGAAUAAGCACCGGCUAACUACGUGCCAGCCGCCGCGGUAAAAC